rnacentral:rRNA from 1 species
UACGUAGGUGGCAAGCGUUGUCCGGAUUUACUGGGCGUAAAGGGCGUGCAGGCGGUCUGUUAAGUCUAGGGUGAAAGCUCCCGGCUCAACUGGGAGAGGUCCUUGGAUACUGGCGGACUUGAGGGAGGCAGAGGAGAGUGGAAUUCCCGGUGUAGUGGUGAUAUGCGUAGAUAUCGGGAGGAACACCAGUGGCGAAGGCGGCUCUCUGGGCCUUACCUGACGCUGAGACGCGAAAGCAUGGGGAGCAAACGGG